rnacentral:rRNA from 1 species
GAGGAAUAUUGGUCAAUGGGCGAGAGCCUGAACCAGCCAAGUAGCGUGCAGGAUGACGGCCCUAUGGGUUGUAAACUGCUUUUAUGUGGGGAUAAAGUGAGCUACGUGUAGUUUAUUGCAGGUACCACAUGAAUAAGGACCGGCUAAUUCCGUGCCAGCAGCCGCGGCAAUACGGAAGGUCCAGGCGUUAUCCGGAUUUAUUGGGUUUAAAGGGAGCGUAGGCCGUGGAUUAAGCGUGUUGUGAAAUGUAGACGCUCAACGUCUGAAUUGCAGCGCGAACUGGUUCACUUGAGUAUGCACAACGUAGGCGGAAUUCGUCGUGUAGCGGUGAAAUGCUUAGAUAUGACGAAGAACUCCGAUUGCGAAGGCAGCUUACGGGAGCACAACUGACGCUGAAGCUCGAAGGUGCGGGUAUCAAACAGGAUUAGAUACCCUGGUAGUCCGCACAGUAAACGAUGGAUGCCCGUUGUUAGUUCACUUAAGAAUUAGCGACCAAGCGAAAGCAUUAAGCAUCCCACCUGGGGAGUACGCCGGCAACGGUG